rnacentral:rRNA from 1 species
UACGUAGGUGGCAAGCGUUGUCCGGAUUUACUGGGCGUAAAGCGUAUGCAGGCGGGUGUGUAAGUAGGGAGUGAAAGGUUGGGGCUCAACCCUAACACGGCUCCCUAUACUGCACGUCUCGAGGAUCGGAGAGGAAGAGGGAACGACACGUGUAGCGGUGAAAUGCGUUUGAGAUGUGUCGGAACACCAAUGGCGAAAGCACUCUUCUGGACGAUGCCUGACUGC